AAUGCGAUUUUCAAUGACGUCAGCUAACAUGGCAGCUGUCUUGUGGAAAUGAAUUCGUUUCACAUUUAUAACACAUCGUUUACACAGUGACCCAUAGCCAAUACAAUAUGUCACCUGUUUGGUGUCAUUGGUCGAACCUAAUGAGGUUGUAUUUCUGGUCAUUGUGUUCGACUGAAGGUGAAUUUGGAAAACAUAUUUCAAAUAUGUUUGCCAGUUUAAAAAGUAAAAUCAAAGAGGAGACAGGUAGUGAUCCUACUAAACUAGCUCUGAGUAACCCUCCACAGAAUAUUAUCCAAAGGGCACCAUUCAAGACAAGGUUCUGGCUCCAGUUUGGGUAGUCUCUCUUUUGAUGGUGUGCAAGAAGGACUGUUAUCAUCACAACCUCUACUGAAGAGACAAGACAGUUCAGAAAUCAAACUUGCUGAUGGAAAGGUUAAAAGUGUCUUGUAAUUUAAACCUAAUGAAUACAUCGUCUUUGGAAAGAAGAAAA